rnacentral:rRNA from 1 species
GACGAACGCUGGCGGCGUGCUUAACACAUGCAAGUCGAACGGAAAGGCCCUGCUUUUGUGGGGUGCUCGAGUGGCGAACGGGUGAGUAACAUGUGAGUAACCUGCCCUUGACUUUGGGAUAACUUCAGGAAACUGGGGCUAAUACCGGAUAGGAGCUCCUGCCGCAUGGUGGGGGUUGGAAAGUUUCGGCGGUUGGGGAUGGACUCGCGGCUUAUCAGCUUGUUGGUGGGGUAGUGGCUUACCAAGGCUUCGACGGGUAGCCGGCCUGAGAGGGUGACCGGCGACAUUGCGACUGAGAUACGGCGCAGACUCCUACGGGAGGCAGCAGUGGGGAAUAUUGCACAAUGGGCGGAAGCCUGAUGCAGCAACGCCGCGUGCGGGAUGACGGCCUUCGGGUUGUAAACCGCUUUCGCCUGUGACGAAGCGUGAGUGACGGUAAUGGGUAAAGAAGCACCGGCUAACUACGUG